rnacentral:rRNA from 1 species
UUGUCGAAGCCUGCAAAGCAGAACGACCUGUGAACAUGUAAUUAUACUCAGGCAUCAUGGGUCUUAAGCGCUAGCUUGGGACUUAUGGUGUUCUGCCGAUGUGGGUUCAAGGUUUCUUACGGAAUCAAGAAUGUUGCAUCGGCAAAAUAACAAACCCCGGCACGGAAUGUGCCAAGGAAUUUAUAACUUAAGAAUGGCUUGUUUCAAUGUGCCCCGUUUGCGGUGUGCUCAUGGAACAUGACUUCUUUGAAAUUACAAACGACUCUCGGCAACGGAUAUCUCGGCUCACGCAUCGAUGAAGAACGUAGCAAAAUGCGAUACUUGGUGUGAAUUGCAGAAUCCCGUGAACCAUCGAGUUUUUGAACGCAAGUUGCGCCCGAAGCCAUUUGGUUGAGGGCACGUCUGCAUGGGCGUCACGCAUCGUGUCGCCUCCUACCAUGCAUUCUAAACAAAUGCAUGGCAUGGCGGCGGAGAUUGGUCUCCCGUGUGUAUUACACGGUUGGCCGAAAUACGAGUCCCCUGCGAUGGACGCACGACUAGUGGUGGUUGACAAACCUUCGUCUUUUGUUGUGCGUUUUAAGUCGUAUUGGAAGAGCUCCAAAAAGACCCUAKUGUGUUGUUCUAGGACGACGCUUCGACCGCGACCCCAUGUCAGGCGGGAUUACCCGCYGAGUUUAA